UACGUAGGGGGCAAGCGUUGUCCGGAAUCAUUGGGCGUAAAGCGCGCGUAGGCGGCCCGGUAAGUCCGUUGUGAAAGUCAAAGGCUCAACCUUUGAAUGCCGACGGAUACUGCCGGGCUAGAGUACGGAAGAGGCGAGUGGAAUUCCUGGUGUAGCGGUGGAAUGCGCAGAUAUCAGGAGGAACACCUAUAGCGAAGGCAGCUCGCUGGGACGUUACUGACGCUGAGACGCGAAAGCGUGGGGAGCAAACAGG
rnacentral:rRNA from 1 species